UGAGCUUUACGAAAUUUGUAUUUUCACUUUUUACCAGUUUUUCUGGUUUGAUUUUUAAUAGAUCAUUUCUGGAGCACACAGUACGUUUGUUUCUUGAUUUAAUAAUACGAGAAACAGACACAUUCUCUAUGGGAUUAGCCAGAUAUGCAUUACUGAUGUUUAAGUGGGACGAACAAGAUUCUAUGUGUUUAUAAUGUGAACUUUGUGGAUUUUUACUUACUAGUCAGAUGGAGCUAAGUAAUCUGGAGAUGUUGUCAAACAGGAGUUCAGCUCCAGCUCGACUGGGGUGCAGGCCGUCAGCAUGGAAAAGCCUAAGACGCUCCCAGAAAAGAUUCCAGUUAUUAGCAAAGAGCAAUUUCUGUUCUUUACACCUACGAUAGGUAGGAAGUGGCCCAGAAACAAUGAUCUGCGUGGCGGGCAAGAUGCGUCGAACCGUCUCGAUCAGGUUCCUGAAGUCCUUCUUCAGGAUCUCUGACUGCCGGAGUCGGUGUCGUUCAUCCCCACGAGGAGGACGACGGCACCAGGGCUCUCGGCAGCACCCAGGAUCAUUGUAUUCUGUGUAGAAAUGUUCUUAACUCGGGCACCAGGAAAGCAGAAAAUCACCAGCGAAACGCCAAGUGAAUGGAAAACCAAGCUCGACCGCCGCUAACACGUCUUCUCCGACACUGGUAAAGCACAACAUUGAACUGAAGGUGAGGUACUUCACAUGACCAUGAGGGAUAAGUUAAGCACAAAAUUGAAGUGACCAUGUGGAAUACAGUUAAGGUGUACAUAAUGGCUAAAGUGCAUGUUUUUGCAGCCUUGCGCCAGACCCAUGGAUGUUGAAAAAGUGUGAUGCCACCCCUCGCCUGAAGCAAUACUACAACAUUAAACAACAGUUUUAUUCCUUGGGUCAAGUGAUCAUGGGAUCUCAUCUGGAUUUAAUAUGGUCUGAAUUUGAAGUAUGCUGAAGAUGCCUUUUGCACUGUGGAACUUAAGACUUAAUUUGUGUGUAUGUGCUGGAGACCAGAGAGGAUGCUGUCCUUAAAAGGAUGGAGCUGUUAUGCUGGAUUGAGACCAAAUGUGAACUACAGUAUUCAGCAACUCCGGCAAGAUGCACACUCACAGAGACAUCUGCCAUUGAAUCCUCAAAGGACAAGAUGGACCCUCACAGGCAAGAGCAGAUGCUGUGAUGAUCAUGGAUGAGGCAAGAGCAUGACCGUGACAGACAAGUUUCUGCAUUGAUUCCAUGGGCUAUUCUGAACACCUGCCGUUGACCGUCUCAAACCAGCACCUUCUCCAUGACGGACACUCAUCGUUCUCAAGCCUUCCAGAGUCUUUUAGACCACAGCUCUACCUUUAUGUUUGACCAGAAGAGAAUUGGUCCCUGAGCCUGGUUUCUUUAAAGUUUGUUCUUUAUUUCCAUCAACCAGUGGAGUUCUGUUUCUGUCCACUGUCCCUUUGGCUUGCUUGAUCAGAGCUGGACCUUCCUUUAACAGUGACAGUUGUAUUAAACUGAAGUGAAUCAGUUUUGAUUAAACUUUUAAUUAUAACUACACUACCAUUUUACCACUACUCUCUCAUCCCUGCCUGAUAUGCUGGAAUGUUACACAAUUUUAAAUAUUAUGACUUUUUGUCUUUAUAUAUGUAAACUAUUUUUGCAAAAUUAUUUUCAAAACCACAGAAAUCUAAAAUUUACCCCUACACCAUCAAGCUAAUAAAGAGAAUUGGGACACUGGACCUCUUCGUGUGAAUGCAUGAACCUUAGCCCUUCUAAGGUGUAGAAUUGGGAUUGGGCCUUAAUCAAAGGCUCCACUAUAGGGAUAUGGUGAGAUUUGAUGUUUGUUAUGCACUUGUUUGUUGAAGCACAGUACAUUUUGUACACAUGAGCAGACUUUGCACAUUCAUGGACUUUCUGCAAUGUCAUGGCAUUUUAAAAGAUCUGUUCUUAAAUUGUCAUGUUUUGUACUGAAGGACAUUUUCUGCAAUAUUUUGUACUAUUUUUAAUAGACUAAAAAUAUAUUUUUUAAUGAUUCUGUAAAACAUUUAAACCCUUUUGAGGUUUUAAUAAAAACAAUUUGAAUUGUU